GUUUGAAGAGUUAACCCGUUUUUUCUUUGAGAGCAAUAAAGGCCCUUUAUUUCUUUGAUUGCUAAAGUUAACAUUUUAAUUAAAUUUUAACAUUGUUAUAGUUAUAAUAUUAAAAAUUCUAGAAUUCCGAAUUUACAAUUUCCAAAUACAAAUAAAUAAAAAUUUUCACAUUUAAAUUUUUUAUUAAGACGUUCUUCAUUUUGGGAUUUGGUAACCUUGGAUAAAUUUUGUGUGAUAUCGAGCCGACUAUUAAUAGAUCUAAUUAUUUAAUACGUUUCAUGGAAUGACCCAUAUUUGAUAAUCAAAGUGUUUUGCUAAUAUAACUCGUCAAAUAAUUUUUAUCGCGGCUAUUUCUAUUUUUACGUCUACUCGAAAUAGCCAAAUCUAGGCGACUGAAUCAAAUUGCUAAUUGUUUAUAUUUUUGUAAAUCAUUCUUUAAACAAGCGACUGAUUCCCUGUGUAAUGUUUAGUCUACGUUUUUUAUGUUUAAAUUUUCACGCCUAGAUAAUUUUAUUAAUUUUUGUUGUUGUUACCAAUUCAAAAGAAUAAAAAACCAACAAUCAGAUUAAAAUUUUAAUUAUUUUUAAGUAUCAGUACAUAACAAGUCGCUCACUCACAAAAACACAUUUUUGGUUAGUAAACAUUUUACAUUUUGGUCUUACAUUAUCUCCUCUGUUAUUAAUAAUUGUUAUUUUGCAAUUUCACAUUUUUCGAUUAAAACCAUUUUUAAUGUUUUAUUUAAUUAGUGCGUGGGCUCAUAGAUUAGUUGUGACAUACACUAGUCGACAGAUAAAUUGACCAAUUGUGAUCAGUUAAUAAAACAUAAUACAAAAUGAAAUCUACAGAAUGGGCAUGUCAAACUUGUGAAACAAAUUUUUAAAUGUUUAAAGGUAUAGCCCUUAAUUUGAAUGAUUUUAAAUUAAACUUAAGCGUUUUAAGAUCAUUUUUAACAUCCAAAUAGACUUUAUCAACUAACUGCGCUUCGCUGGAUAACAAUAUAUUGUUUUAAGUUUAUUUAUUUGUUGUCAAACAACUCCAGAAACGAAUACCACAUAUUUGGAAAUUCUGUUGAAAAGAAAAACUUGUCAAUAAUAAAAGAUUUUAACUUUAGAAUCGUGGAUUAUUACCAAAUUUUAAGUUUAUGUUAAUAAAUAUUACGAAAACUUUUAUAUGGAUUCUUAAACUGUAUUUAUCUUUCUUUUACAAUGGAAAGCUUUAUUUAGUUUUUUUUUGAUUUAAAAUACAAUUAAGUUGUAGUAAGAAAAGAGUGCUUUAAUUAAUUUUAUGUUAAACUUUUCUUGAUUAUCAAAACAAUUAAACAUUAAUAAGUUUUUUAACGCAGAAUUGUCCAAAGAUUCCAAAUCUCUUUUUAUUUCUUAACUACAACCAUUAGUUCUUUAGAUAUCGGUCAAAGUUUGGUUUUUCAAGAAACCGAUUAUUUAGAAUAUAACUUUUGAGACAGUACAUCGAGAAUUUUUUUUUGUAAUUUUAUAUACGAUAGAAUAAAAAAAUGGCUACUUUAUUCCAUGGAAUUUUUGUUGUAUGGUUUUAAUUGAACAAAUUUUUAUAACUAAGUGUAUUGUUUACUCCAAACCCGGGUACGUAAUGUAAAUCUAAUUUCUCAAUUUCCCCUUUUAAGGCGAUAUGAACUACUUUUAAACCCGAUUUUGCCACUAACAAUUGUUAAUAAAAAAUACAGAUAAUAACUAAAUGAAAUAAUGUACCUAGUAACCACUUGUAUACAAUCUCUUUUAAAAUCUCAGAAUUUAGAGAAGUUGUCAAUGUUUAAAAUUUAGAAUUUUAGAACUAAAAUUCACAAAUUUGAAAUUUCUGUUAACGCAAUAUACGGAAAAUUGUUUUAGGAUUCCGAAACUGUUUUUCGUAGAGUAAAGGUUUUUUGAAAUAUCGUUUGAUUUGAUUUCUUGGGAUACAUUUUAAUAAGACAUGAGCGUUUUAUUAUUUUUUAAUAAUUCAAACGCUGCAAUUAUUAUUUCAGUAAGGAAUUGAAUUUAUCUUUAUUUUUUGUUUGCAAGCAAUAUUUUUGAUAUCGGUCAAAGUUUAAGACAAAUUUCAAACUUUUGAGCAACAUAUUUUUUUAGCCAAUGUGAAGUGUCAAAGCAAUAAAAAAAUUGUUUUUCUCACAUGGAAUUGUCCGAGGAUUUCAAAACAAUUUUUUAUUUUUUAUCGACAAUGAAGAGUUUUUUUUUAGAUAUCCCUUAAAGUUUGUUUUUAAAAAAAUACAGACUAUUUAGUAUAAAAAGUAAAUGCUUUUUAAUUAUUUCAAAAAUUGAAAUUCGUUUAAUUGUUUUAUUUACGAGCCUAAGUAAAUUGUAAGCCUAAGUUCGAGAUUUUGGUUAACAUUUAAUUUGGUAAAACCACGUCAAAAAGAAAAGAUUAAACGGCUCUAAACCAAUGAAACGAAAUUUUGAAAUAUAAUUGUCAGUGUUUAAAAAGACAAAAAAAUGAAAUUCUGAAAUUGUUUCUAGCAGAGUAAAAAUUUUUAAGAUAUCGUUUGAUUUGUUUUUUUAUGUAGUUUUGUAUUGUAUUCAGUUAUUUUAUAGAUUUGGAUGGGUGACCGGAUAAUGUAAUGCCAAAACAUCGCAACUAACUCGUCUUUCGGAGGAGACGUUAAGCCGUCGGUCCCGGUCACUACUAGUGGUCGUUAGGUCAGGUCAGAGGCUGUAGAUGCGACCUGAAAACUCUGGCACUUGGGUGAUGGCAUUACCACCAUACGCAUAUUCAUAUUAUAGAUUUGUAUCUGCCUUUAUUUUUUGUUUUUUAUAUGUUUUUUUUGUUAGCAAGCAGUAGUUUCUGAUCCCAGUCAAAAUUUGAGACACUAAUUGUCAAAAGAAAUGGUUUAGUUAUUUAAAGGAGCAGUAAAUUAAAUGUUGUUGUAAAAAUUUAUUUGGAGUGUGAAAUGUGUGUUAAUAAAUCUCUAGAACCAGCACAUUAUAAACAAAAUUUAAUUAGUUUUCUUUUAACUUCGAUUAUGAUACUUGCUCUAAGUUUGAAUAACUUGAUGUUUUAAUUUAUUCUUUAAAUAAAGUUUUUCAGUCAUUUAACACAUACCUUCUUGUACAUUGUUUCAAACUUAGUCGAAACCAGUACAGAACGUGUGAUUUCGGUUUUUGUUGCAUUUUAUCCAAGAUUUUACUUUUUAGCAACAAACAACCAAACAGAGCAACAAUGCUUUUAUAAAAAUUGUCAAUACCUACUGCUAAAAGUUGGCAAAAUUUUUGUUUUUGCUAGAAAUUUAUUGAAGCUAUGAUUUUAGUAAGAAGUCAAACUACUUAUCUAUCAUUAAAGCCCUUCUCUUGGUAUAAAAUAACUAUUACGAGUUUUAAUUUGCCUUUAUUUUUUGUUCACAACAAAUAUUCUGAUAUCAGUCAAAGUUUGAAAUAUUAUUUGUCAAAAAAAUGUUUAGUAAAGUAAUACCUAGGUUUGAAUAACUUGAUGUGUAAUGUUUUAAUGUUAUUAAUGUUCUUUUACAUAAAAUUAUCUGAGGAUUUUAAAUCAGACUUUUUUUGAGAUUUGUUUAACAAAAAAAAUGAUUUUUUUACGUGUGUGUGUCUGAAGAUUCUGAAUCUGUGUUUAUUUUCUAAUCGUAUCUACAAUCAACAGGUUUUUUUAGAUAUGAGUCAAAGUUAGUGUGUUAAUAAGAAGUGAAUGUUCUUUUUUUUGUUAAAGUCAGACAGUUCAAACAACUAAAUUAGCUUUUCUUAUUAGUUAUUACAGAAAAUGGUUCAAGAAUUUUAAAUCUGGUUUUAUUUUUAUCAAUCAAUCAUUGUUUUUAAAAUGUAAGUCCAAGUUUGAGACAUUAUUGGUUGACUUAAUUUGGUAAAAUCGCUAACAUCGUAACCCUUUAUCACAAUUUUUUGUGGUGAAGGUAAAAUCUAAACGUCUUAAUUUUUAAGUUUCCUUGGGUCAAAUUCCCCGAGGAUUUUAAACUAGACUUUGUUUCACAUCUAUGAGAUAUCGAUUAACAUUUAUCAUACUUUUAUUUUCGCCUCUAUGGAUUAAUAAAAUUUUGAAAUUCUAUUUUAAGCGGAUGAACGAGAGGUCACUUGUGUGUGUGACCCCUCCAAUGCAUUAUGUAAAUUUUGCUUGGCUCAAUUACGAAAACCUCGUCGAUUACAUAACUGGAGCCAGUGGAGGGUCCCGUGUCAAUUUCAAUAACCGCAAACCAGACGUGAAGAUUGGAUAAAUGUAGGAAUUUGCCGUCAUUAAAAUGGCAAUGGAUCAAUCAGGCCAAUAAAAAAAUGAGCAACCUGCCGUUGAUUCGGGCAAAAUUUUGAAUUAAUUUUGCCAUUAACAAUGCAUUUGAAGACGAACAAUUUACCACUCACCCACAUGCAGCUAGAUUGGCGCCAUUAAUAAAUCACGUUGACACGUGAACCCUUUAAAUAGAUUGCUCCAACACGUGAAAUAAUGAUUUAAGACGGGAGCAAGCAACAAUAAUAACCCCCUGUCUGAAAUGGAUAACACUUCGUAACAAUGUUGACCACACGUGUCCGUUCCGUGCCGCCUCAAUAAAACUCCCCAGUUAAGAAAAAUUCAAUAAUUUAUUACACGCUUUAGCUAGGUAAAUAAAAUUAUGCAACAAUAAAUCCGUAGAUACAGUAUCACAAGGUCAUAUCAUUACUAAAUAAAUACCGCAACGACAAUUUUUCUUCUUCUCCUUCAAUACACGUAAUACAACAAGAGUUUGUGUGCCAUCUACAAAAUUUAAGUGCACGUUGGCAGAAGCGAAACGAAGCGCACCUAUAGCUACAUUAUAUCACAAAUUUUUGCCGACUAAUCACAAUUUAAUCACAAGUUCACUUUUUAAGUCACAAUUUUAUCGACUAGGGCCGCCGCAAUAUUGGGACAGUUCUUCCAGUGAACAGGGUUUUUCACAGCACUCGUUAAAAACACCACGACGCUUCCUUCGACGAAAACCGGACAUAUGAUGAGACGCUGCAUUCGCCUUACUUUGGUACGGGUAGUCUAAACUAUGCUGGGACAACGAUGGGUAGCCGGGACGUCGCGACGCACCCAUCUCGUGAACUGCAAACAAAAAUGAGAAAUCAAUUUGGUUGCUUAAGAAAAUAGAUCAUUAAUUAAAUUGUCGCAAUUAAUUGUUGUAAUGUUUUGAGCCAAAAUAAAAAUUAAUAAGGCGAUAUAA